GUCGAGGGGUAGCAGGAUCUAGCAAUAGAUUGCUGACGACCGGCGCACGGGUCCGUUCACGUAUCCAACCUUCCGUUUACUCGGGGAUAGCCUCAUUCCAAAUAAAGAUUAAUACCCGAUAGUAUGUUUUUCCCGCAUGGGAGAACCAUUAAAGUUUUUCGGUAAUCGAUGGGGAUGCGUUCCAUUAGGCAGUUGGUGAGGUAACGGCUCACCAAACCUUCGAUGGAUAGGGGUUCUGAGAGGAAGGUCCCCCACAUUGGAACUGAGACACGGUCCAAACUCCUACGGGAGGCAGCAGUGAGGAAUAUUGGUCAAUGGACGAGAGUCUGAACCAGCCAAGUAGCGUGAAGGAUGACUGCCCUAUGGGUUGUAAACUUCUUUUAUAUGGGAAUAAAGGAGCCUACGUGUAGGUUUUUGUAUGUACCAUACGAAUAAGGAUCGGCUAACUCCGUGCCAGCAGCCGCGGUAAUACGGAGGAUCCAAGCGUUAUCCGGAUUUAUUGGGUUUAAAGGGAGCGUAGGUGGAGGCUUAAGUCAGUUGUGAAAGUUUGCGGCUCAACCGUAAAAUUGCAGUUGAUACUGGGUUUCUUGAGUACACAGUAGAGGUGGGCGGAAUUCGUGGUGUAGCGGUGAAAUGCUUAGAUAUCACGAAGAACUCCAAUUGCGAAGGCAGCUCACUAGACUGGCACUGACACUGAUGCUCGAAAGUGUGGGUAUCAAACAGGAUUAGAUACCCUGGUAGUCCACACAGUAAACGAUGAAUACUCGCUGUUUGCGAUAUACAGUAAGCGGCCAAGCGAAAGCAUUAAGUAUUCCACCUGGGGAGU
rnacentral:rRNA from 1 species